GCCGGUGUGGCGGAAUUGGCAGACGCGCGGGACUCAAAAUCCGUUCCACUUGUGGAGUGUCGGUUCGACCCGACCACCGGUA
rnacentral:tRNA from 1 species